rnacentral:misc_RNA from 1 species
UUGAAUAAAUCUGGCGUGGGUUGUCGCUGGCUCCCCUGGGAGCAUGUGCACGCCUCGUCACCUUUAUCUAUCCACCUGUGCACACACUGUAGUCCUGGAUACCUCUCGCUGAAAAAGGCGGAUGCGGAGCUUGCUGGCUUUUGCUGGCUUGCUCUGAAUUUCCAGGUCUAUGCUUUUUUACACACACCCCAAACGAAUGUUACAGAAUGUAGUCAUUGGGCCUCUGCGCCUAUAAACUUAUA